rnacentral:rRNA from 1 species
GGGGGGGGGGGGGGGGGGGCGGAGCGCAGGGGGGGCGAGCGGGGGGGCGCGGGUGGGGUGGGGGGCGCGGGUGGCGGACGGGUGGGUGGCACGGUGGGGAGCUGGGCUGGACGUUGGGAGAGCUUGCGGCGCCUGGGGGUAGUAACGGGUAGGCGCGCCUGCUUCGUGGUGGGUGUGGGAAGGGUUCGGCGGUUGGGGAUGGACUCGCGGCUUAUCAGCUUGUUGGUGGGGUAGUGGCUUACCAAGGCUUUGACGGGUAGCCGGCCUGAGAGGGUGACCGGCCACAUUGGGACUGAGAUACGGCCCAGACUCCUACGGGAGGCAGCAGUGGGGAAUAUUGCACAAUGGGCGGAAGCCUGAUGCAGCAACGCCGCGUGCGGGAUGACGGCCUUCGGGUUGUAAACCGCUUUCGCCUGUGACGAAGCGUGAGUGACGGUAAUGGGUAAAGAAGCACCGGCUAACUACGUG